rnacentral:misc_RNA from 1 species
GCGCAGCCCUGAUAACUACGCGGUGUCAUCGCCGGACUUGGUCCGGCGAUCCAUUCUUUCGAAAGAAGAUGGAUACGCAGGUCAAGCCCGCGUAUGACGAUUCAAACCAGCAGAUCNUGCUGACAUGACUUGGCGCGCCACCGUGCUCACGCUGUUUCCGGAGAUGUUUCCAGGCCCGCUCGGCAUCAGCCUUGCGGGGAAGGCGCUGACGUCCG